rnacentral:rRNA from 1 species
CGGAGGGUGCAAGCGUUAUCCGGAUUCACUGGGUUUAAAGGGUGCGUAGGUGGGCAGGUAAGUCAGUGGUGAAAUCUCCGGGCUUAACCCGGAAACUGCCAUUGAUACUAUCUGUCUUGAAUACCCUGGAGGUGAGCGGAAUAUGUCAUGUAGCGGUGAAAUGCUUAGAUAUGACAUAGAACACCCAUUGCGAAGGCAGCUCACUACGGGAAUAUUGACACUGAGGCACGAAAGCGUGGGGAUCAAACAGGAUUAGAUACCCUGGUAGUCCACGCCCUAAACUAUGGAUACUCGACAUCAGCGAUAAACUGUUGGUGUCUGAGCGAAAGCAUUAAGUAUCCCACCUGGGAAGUACGAUCGCAAGAUUA